rnacentral:rRNA from 1 species
AGCAGUCGCCGCGGGAAUACGUAGGGGGCAAGCGCUAUCCGGAAUUACUGGGCGUAAAGGGUGCGUAGGCGGCUUGUUAAGUCUGAUGUGAAAGCCCCCGGCUCAACCGGGGAGGGUCAUUGGAAACUGGGAAACUUGAGUGCAGAAGAGGAGAGUGGAAUUCCACGUGUAGCGGUGAAAUGCGUAGAGAUGUGGAGGAACACCAGUGGCGAAGGCGACUCUCUGGUCUGUAACUGACGCUGAGGAGCGAAAGCGUGGGGAGCGAACAGGAUUAGAUACCCCCGUAGUCCCUGUCUCUUAUAC